rnacentral:rRNA from 1 species
AUGGAGGCGACGCCGGAGAGGGAGAGGGAGGGUAGGGGGGAGGAGUGGAGCGACGGUGGCGUGGCUCUGGGUUUCCGGGUGAAGGCGUGUUCCCGCGAGUCGUCGGGGCAGAAGGCCGCCAACGUGCUGGAGCCCGACCUCCGCUCCCACUGGUCCACCGCCACCAACACCAAGGAGUGGAUCCUCCUCGAGCUCAACGAGCCGUGCCUCGUCUCCCACAUCCGCAUCUACAACAAGUCCGUCCUCGAAUGGGAGGUCACCGGUGGGCUGCGCUACAAGCCCGAGGCCUUCGUCAAGGUUCGCCCACGCGGCGAAGCUCCGAAGCGCGACAUGGUGUACCCGGCCAACCACACCCCCUGCCGCUACGUCCGCAUCUCUUGUCUGCGCGGAAGCCCCAUUGCCAUCUACUUCAUCCAGCUCACCGGAAUCCCUGUACCUGGCCUGGAACCUGAAUUCCAACCUCUUGUCAACCACUUGUUACCACAAAUAUCCUCUUCGCAGAAACAAUCUCAUUCUUCGCACAAUAUGCAUCUCCAGUUACUCAAAGAUAUUGCAAGCAGGCUACCACCGUUUCUGCCCCAGAUUGAGGCUGACCUUAAUAGCAUCACAGACACCCCAGAGGGCAGUGUUCGGUUUUUGGCUCUGCUUGCUGGCCCAUUUUAUCCAAUCCUCAACCUUAUAAACGAAAGGGAUGCUACAAAAACGUCGAUUGCUUCUGUUGAUUCAGAUACCCUAAAGACUAGCCUGGCUUCUAUUCCAACUGUUUCCUCAAACUUCGAGGCACAACCUAGGAGAGCACGGAGUCCAUCUUCUGUUCAGCCUGCUUCAUGUAUGCUGGCAUUUCGAUCUGAAACAGCUAUACUACUCUUAAGGAAAGCACACAAAGACAAAACUCUCUCAAUUGUCUGCCAUCGAGCAUCAAGGGUGCUCCAAAAACUUUUGGAGCCUGAGCCAUUCGUUGAUGAGCCAAUACCUAAUGGUGGCAUGCUUUCGAGUGAAGUCUCUGAUGAAAUUCCUAAAAGUGAUGCUUCCAGCCUAGUGCCUUAUACAAACUACUCUAGUUUGUUUGGAGAAGAAUUUAGUUUAUCGGAAAAUCACUUCGAUGGCUCUUUUCUAAAUAUUUUGGAUGUUGCUGCUGUUGAAGAAGGCAUUCUUCAUGUACUGUAUGCAGCUGCAUCACAGCCUCAACUAGGUUGCAAGCUUGCUGAAACUACUUCAGACAUGUGGUCUGUCUUACCGCUUGUUCAAGCACUUCUUCCAGCACUUCGUCCUCCAUUUAGUGCUGGCCCUACCGAACAGAUUGAUGAUUGUUUUAGCCAAUGGAACCAUCCAGAUGUUCACAAUGCUCUUUCCCAGAUUGUGUCAAUGUCGGUAUCAUCAGUUUUUCAUCCUCUUCUCAGAGGCUGUGCUGGUUAUCUUUCAUCAUACCUGCCAUCACAUGCAAAAGCAGCAUGUGUUUUGCUUGAUUUGUGCAGGGGACCAUUAUCACCUUGGGUGCCCAUGAUCACAGCAAAGGUAGAUCUUGCAGUUGAACUUCUGGAGGAUCUCUUGGGUGUUAUCCAGGGAGUUGGGCAAUCUCUUUCCCGUUCUCGUGCGGCGCUGAAGUAUAUUUUAUUGGCCGUAUCAGGGAAUAUGGAUGAUGUUCUCGCAGAAUACAAAGAAGUCAAGCAUAAAAUACUUUUCAUUCUGGAGAUGCUAGAUCCUUUUGUUGAUCAUGCUAUAAGUGCAAUGAAAGACAGAAUAUCAUUUGGUGGUGUGUCUGCUAUAUAUCUGGAGAAACAGGCAAAAGUUUGCAAUAUGGCCUUGAACAUUAUUCGUACAGCUGCAAAGAAUCCUGCUGUACUCCCUUCUUUGGAACUUGAAUGGCGGCGAGGUGCUGUUGCCCCAAGUAUACUUCUUUCUAUCUUGGAUCCUCAUAUGCCACUCCCACCUGACGUUGACCUCUGCAAAAGUUCAUUGCCCGAGGUUGAUCAAGCAGCUUUGGCGGUUUCAGAUUGUCCAGCACCACAUUCUUGCAACCCUGAAGUUGUUGACGGGCGAGACACAUCUGAAAUAGCUAUGAGAAUAGAAAGUUUUGAACAGUACAAUUCUUUAUUUGCUCCUGAAGAAUUGAAGCAAUCUGAGUUGACAAAUACUCUGCAAGAAGACCAUGAUAAAGUACAUACAAAUUUUGACCAGAACAUCCCUGAGGGCAGGAAAACCAAUGUAAAAUUACCAGCUGGCCUUUUCCAGUUGGAAGAUACUGUUGCUGAUGAUUACAAUGAUGCACGGGCUGAUUAUCUACAACUGCUGAACCAAGAGAACUGUGAAUUAAGAGCUCUAGAAUUUCGUCGCUUAGCACUGAAUCUGUGCAUGCAACAGGAACCAACAAUUGAGGGGCAUAAUGCCGGAAUUGAUGCUUUGCUAUUAGCUGCAGAAUGCUAUGUUAAUCCAUUUUUUCUCUUGGAUUUACGGCUUAAUUCAGAGCCUCUGGAUCGAAUUGAACGUACUCAUUCGGAGUUGAUACAACGGAAUGCCUCCUUCGAGUUGAAAGAUUUGCGUGUGAAAGAUUUAGAUCUAGCGACAGUGCACUGUUUGGAGAAUAAACGGGAUAGAGCUGUCCUAGAUUUACUCCUGCAAGCUGCAAAAUUUGACUGUGAAUACCAUGCAAAGAUACCCGACGGUGAAGUCUAUCCAAAUGAUGCUGAGGAUGACAAGCAAGCUAUAGAAAUUUCACCAGAAGUUACAGACCUUGUGGAUGCUGUAACUUUGGUCAGAAAGAACCAAGCUCUGCUUUGGCACUUUAUUAUCAAGCAAUUUGGAAGGAAAGGGCAUUUAGCUAAUGAAAUUCUUCUUGAUAGCUUGUUGUUCUUGUUGCACUCAGCAACUGACCUAUUUUGUCCACCAGAUAAUGUGAUCGAUAUCAUAUUGAAUUCUGCUGGAAACCUCAACCGACAGCUUGCAUGUGUUUACAGCUCAGUUAAUGCAGGGGAUAAGAAAUUGGAUAAUGUAAAAUUACAUGGUUUACAAAGACGUUGGGCACUUCUCCAGAAGCUGGUUCUGGCUUCAUCUGGUAGUGACAAUACUAGAGAACUUGUCAGCAUUAAAAAAGAUGGUUUUCGUUUUAGAAGCUUAGUUCCUCCAUCAGCAUGGGUGCAUAAGAUAUCAGAAUUUUCCAGGUUUUCUAGCCCACUUCCUCGAUUUCUUGGAUGGAUGGCAGUAUCGCGUUAUGCCAAGGAAUAUUUAAAUGAGAGACUGUUUCUUGCCUCUGAUUUCUCACAGCUUACAACUUUGCUGUCAAUUUUCACUGAUGAACUUAGUUUAAUGGAUGGAGUUGCAACUCAGAAGGUCAAGUCUGCGGACACUGAGCAAUCUGCUUGCAAUAAUUACUUGCUUCUUAAGAAGGAAUCUAUGUUGUCAGAUAAACCAAGCAUGAACAAACUGUUUCAGAUUUUACUUCCUGAACUACAUUUCUUUUUUCCAAGCAUGAGCAGACUGUUUCACGGAUUUGGAGAGACCAUUUUGGAAGCUGUUGGUUUGCAGUUAAAAUGUCUCCCCAAAAGUGCAGUACAAGAUGUUCUUUGUUGGUUUUCUGAGAUGUGCAUGUGGCCUUACCUUGAAGGCAUCAAGGAGCAUCUUGUACUUGCAAACGGAGCAAGUUCUUUGAGAGGUAAUAUUGCUGCUAAUGCCAAGGCUGUUGUUUUCUAUCUACUCGAGUCGGUUGUUUCUGAGCACUUGGAGGCUAUUGUUCCUGAAAUGCCAAGGGUAGUGCACAUUCUUGUGUCACUUUGUAGAGCUUCUUAUGCUGAUGUGGCCUUCCUUGACUCUGUAUUGUGUCUGCUGAAGCCAUUGAUAUCUUACUUCUUAAGGAAGGGAACUGAUGAUGAAAAAGUGAUGGGUCAUAUAACUGACUGCAGUGAUUUUGAGUUGAUUUGUUUUGAAGAAUUGUUUGAAAUUAUCCGGUGUGGUAAACAUACAAAGGAUGCAACCAGUGAUAAGAUUCAGGUCCCAUUGCUGAUCUUCAUUCUGGGGUCUCUGCUUCCUGAUCUGUCCUUUAAGAGGAGGAUUGAAAUAUUGGACUCCUUGCUAGUAUGGGUAGACUCUAUUAGUUCUGAUCCACCAUCACUGCUGUGUAGUUAUCUUGAAGGCUUUCAUACACUUAUUGAUGGUUGUGUAACUAUACUAGUUCAGAAUAUUGAAUUACUUGGUAUCAUCAUCCUUUCUGUGAGAGAACAGUCUAGGGAGGCUGCAAAUUCCAUAAGUGGGGAUGCCAUGAUGCGACUUGAGAAGAAUUCACAAGAUAGUGCAGAGCAGCUACUAGUUAAAUCCACAGACAAUGCGGAAAAGUCGAAGGGGCCACCUGCUGGUUGUAUUAUAGAAUUUUGUGAUGCCCUGGAGAAGGUCAUUUCACAUCUUACUCUGUCAAUUGAGAGUAGCUGGAAAUGGCACCAUCAGUUGGCCUCUAGGCUGUCUUCAUUGAUGGCAAAGUGUUUGCUGUAUGCGAAAUGCUUAAAAGCUGUUACUCAAGGAAACACAAUUUCUAGUAGCACUAGGCAAGAGGUGGAGCUUGUACAAAAACACUGGGAGAGUGCUCUUGAAGGUCUUGCAGAAACCAUUUUAGGAAAUCAGGAAAAGCAGUGCUGGCAGGUGGCAUCCUCUAUGCUUGACUAUAUGAUUAAACUACCUAAUGUUCUUGCUUGGGGUAAUGUUCUUAGUGCCACUUGUUCAGCAAUCGAGCACUUCUGCUCUCAUGCACCUAGGAUAUCUUGGAGACUGCAGACAGAGAAGUGGUUAUCAUUAUUGGUUUCGGGUGGAAUUGAAGACCUCAAGAAUAGUGAAACCUCGUUGAUUAAUCUUUUCUGUACAAUGUUGAGUCACGCCGAACCAGAACAACGCUCUGUUGCAUUGCAGCAACUUGGGAGGAUUAUUCACUUGGCGAGUACUGCUGAAGUCGGAUCUGGUUCAACAAUGACGUCCCAUUUGGUUACUCAUACAUGGAACAGAAUAGUAGCAUUGGCUCUCUAUGACUCUUCUAUGCUAUUAAGGAAUCAUGCGAUGGCUUUGCUCACUGAAUAUGCUCCAUUUGUUGAUAAAAAUCAUCUGCGGUCAUUUCUUGCAUCAAGUGACAGUAUCCUGAAAGGUGUGGGGCAACUUUCAUGUGUAAUUGAAGAGGGCUAUUUGACACGAAUGUCGUUACUGUUGCUUUCAAAGGCAUGUCUUUAUUCUUCUUCUGAAGAUAUUGCUUUGAUUCCUGAAUGUGUUUGGAGGAAAUUGGAAAACAUGCAAACAUCACUAACUGGAGGUUUUGAUGAUGUCGAGAAAGAUCUCUGUCGAGCUCUAUGUCAGCUAAGAACUGAAUCUGAUGCUAAAACGGUUGUAAAAGAACUUCUCGCAGGAUCUACUACAAAACCAGUGAACACUGAUUAUAAGGAUAUCCGUGAAUCAAUUCUUCAGGUGUUGUCCUCUUUGAGUUCUGUUGAGUCCUACUUUGAGUUCUUCUCAAUCAGAUCUGAUCAGGAAUGUCAGGAACUUGAAGAAGCUGAGAUUGAAUUGGAGCUUAUUAAAAACGAGAAAGCAGUUCAGAAAUUUGUCGGACGUCCUCAGGUGGCUCCAGGCGUGUUAUCAUAUUACAAGGAUAGUAGUGAAGUUAAUAAACAGCUUCAGCAGAUCCGUGAAGAUAUACGGUCCCUAGAACGGUCCAAGCUCAGAGAGGAAAUUAUAGCACGCCGACAGAAGAAAUUGCUUAUCAGACAUACUCGUGAAAAGUACUUGGAAGAGACGAGUUGCAAGGAAAUGGAGCUUAUGCAAGAGCUUGAUAGGGAAAGAAGUCUUGAGAUGGAGCGUGACAUCGAAAGGCAGCGACAGCUGGAUCUCGAGCGUGUGAAGUCUAGGGAACUGCAAUAUAACCUCGAUAUGGAAAGGGAGAAACAAACUCAGAGAGAGCUUCAACGUGAGCUGGAGCAGGUUGAGUUGGGGCGGUCAUCAAGGCGGGAGUUCUCAGCCAACCCCAGCAGCCGGGCGAGGGAGAGAUACCGCGAAAGGGAUAACAGUAGAGGCGCGCAGCAGGAGGGAAGCCGCGGCCAAGGCCACGAGGGUCAAUCACCGGUCGUGAUGGGCGGUGCAUCAAGGCCAUCGUCGUUCCCUACGAUACUGCAAUCUCGCGACCGUGGCAGCGAUGGUGGCUACGAGGAGAACGCGGAGGGAAGCAGGGAUUCCGGCGGCGACACCAGCAGCAUGGGAGACCCGGAGCUGGACGGGCCGGGGUCGGGCUCGAGGCACGGGACACGAGCUGGCGGCAGCAAGUCGUCAAGGCAGGUGCUGGAGCGGCGAGAGCGAGACGGUAGACGGGAAGGUAAAUGGGAGCGGAAGCAAUGA